GUGCUUGCAGUGGCAGCACAUAUACUAAAAUUGGAACGAUACAGAGAGGAUUAGCAUAGCCCCUGCAUAAGGAUGACAUGAGACCACUAUUAUAAAAACCCAAGAAAA